UAGGGAAUCUUCGGCAAUGGGGGCAACCCUGACCGAGCAACACCGCGUGAGUGAAGAAGGUUUUCGGAUCGUAAAGCUCUGUUGUAAGAGAAGAACGUGUGUGAGAGUGGAAAGUUCACACAGUGACGGUAACUUACCAGAAAGGGACGGCUAACUACGUGCCAGCAGCCGCGGUAAUACGUAGGUCCCGAGCGUUGUCCGGAUUUAUUGGGCGUAAAGCGAGCGCAGGCGGAUUAAUAAGUCUGAAGUUAAAGGCAGUGGCUUAACCAUUGUUCGCUUUUGAAACUGUUAAGCUUGAGUGCAGAAGGGGAGAGUGGAAUUCCGUGUGUAGCGGUGAAAUGCGUAGAUAUAUGGAGGAACACCGGUGGCGAAAGCGGCGCUCUGGUCUGUAACUGACGCUGAGGCUCGAAAGCGUGGGGAGCAAACAGG
rnacentral:rRNA from 1 species